rnacentral:misc_RNA from 1 species
AAGUCGUAACAAGGUAACCGUAGGUGAACCUGCGGUUGGAUCAUUAUUGAAAUGUAUCUACUCUAGGUAGGCUCAUUGGAGUCUACCUAUCUACCUAAAUGUCAACUAUUAUGUCACGGUGGGUUUAUCGGAUGAUGUGUGGUGGUGCUAGUAGUGGUGGUAGUAAUACCUAGUACUGCUACUACUGGUAGUAAUACCUAGUACUGCUACUACUGGUAGUAAUACCUAGUGCUGCUACUACUGGUAGUAAUACCUAGUACCCCACUUGAAACACUCGAUAAAACCCCCCCAUUAUAUAAACGUCUUCUCCAGUCAAUCCUCUUUUCUUUAAAAAAGAAAAAACAACUUUUGACAAUGGAUCUCUUGGCUCUC